GUCUGCAGCCAUACUACCUGAACAUGCCUGGUCUCAUCUGAUCUUAGAAGCUAAGGAGCGUCUGGCCUAGUUAGUACUUGGAAAGGAGAAAUGAAAUAGGGUCUUCUAGCCUGGGGAUGUGGCUCAGCGGAUA
rnacentral:rRNA from 1 species